CUUAUCAAGAGUGGUGGAGGGAACAGGCCCUAUGAUACCCGGCAACCUGCACAGUGUGCAAAGGUGCUAAAUCCUGCGGAUAAAACCGAGAGAUGAGG
rnacentral:ncRNA from 1 species